GAUGAACGCUGGCGGCGUGCCUAAUACAUGCAAGUCGAGCGGAAAGGCCUCUUCGGAGGUACUCGAGCGGCGGACGGCUGAGUAACGCGUAGGAACGUACCCCGAACUGAGGGAUAACUGCUCGAAAGAGUAGCUAAUACCGCAUGUGCUCUACGGAGUAAAGCUUCGGCGGUUUGGGAACGGCCUGCGUAAGAUUAGCUUGUUGGUAAGGUAAUGGCUUACCAAGGCGACGAUCUUUAGCUGGUCUGAGAGGAUGAUCAGCCAGACUGGGACUGAGACACGGCCCAGACUCCUACGGGAGGCAGCAGUAGGGAAUUUUCCACAAUGGGCGAAAGCCUGAUGGAGCAACGCCGCGUGCAGGAUGAAUGCCUUCGGGUUGUAAACUGCUUUUAUAAGUGAAGAAUAUGACGGUAACUUAUGAAUAAGGAUCGGCUAACUCCGUGACAGCAGCCGCGGUAA
rnacentral:rRNA from 1 species